ACAGAAACAGAGAAGCCAAAAACGAAAACAGAAUAGAGAAGGAAAGAAAAAGAAAAAGAAAAAGGGAGAAAGGAGAAAGACGAAGGCCAACGAUUUUCAAGGUUCCAAGGUCAAUCGGUUAAAGUUCGAUCGUUGAAUCAACAUCCAAAGCCGAUCCCGAACUCAUUGUGGUGAAGUACAUAUCUUUUUGAUAAUCCUCAAGGUCAAGACGCGAACUUGGCAUUUGAAGGGCUCGACUCAAAUAGUUUUUAAAUAAAAGAAUCUUAGACUUAUUAAUUGAAAUUUCUAUUAUUUGGAAACUGUAUUAUUUUAUUUGAAUUGUGGCAUGAGACUUAGAUUUUGGGUUUAUUUUUGCAUGCAUGGCAUUUUAUUUGUUUAGAUUUUUGAAACUUGGAUAAUAAAUUUAUGAUACAUGAAAUCUAGUUUUAAUUAAAA